rnacentral:rRNA from 1 species
UAGGGAAUAUUGCAAAAUGGGCGAAAGCCCGAUGCAGCAACGCCGCGUGCGCGAUGAAGGCCUUCGGGUCGUAAAGCGCUUUUUAGAGGGAUGAGGAAGGACAGUACCUCUAGAAUAAGUCUCGGCUAACUACGUACCAGCAGCCGCGGUAAAACGUAGGAGGCAAGCGUUAUUCGGAUUUACUGGGCGUAAAGCGCGUGCAGGCGGUUUGGUAAGUUGGAUGUGAAAGCUCCUGGCUCAACUGGGAGGGGUCGUUCAAUACUACCAGACUAGAGGGCGGUAGAGGAAGGCGGAAUUCCGGGUGUAGUGUUGAAAUGCGUAGAUAUCCGGAGGAACACCAGUGGCGAAAGCGGCCUUCUGGACCGAUCCUGACGCUCAGACGCGAAAGCUAGGGUAGCAAACGG